AUUGUAUCUAUAAUAAUCCUUUUUUACUUAGCAGUGAUAUCUCUUGAAUUUGUUAGAAUACAUCUACUACUAUUUUUUCUAAACAAACUACUAAAAAAGCAUACAUGAGCUAAGAUGAGGAAUAAAUAUAGUUUUGAUAAUAAUACAUGAGAAACUUCAACAGCUGCAAAGGACUCAUCAUGAUUCAUGUGCCUAUCUUCUAAAAAUAUGACAAAAUUAUACUCUAUCUUGCCUUUAUUAGUUCAAACUUUCUUCUCAAAAAAAUAGUUUUUCCAUUUAAUGUAACCAACCUAAGCCUUAAUAUAAAAUUCAUGCCAUUAGACAAUACACAAAAGAUACUUUUUUCCAUUCCUCUCCUCCUCAAAUACAAAAAAGAAUUAGAGAAAUAGAGAGUUAGAGACUAUUAAGCUCUAACAGUGUACCUGAUUUGAAUCAGGUUAGGACAAGCUAUAGAAUAAGAAAUGUAAAAUUGUUCUAAAAAGUAAAUGGGCUGGAUCGAAUCAGGUCAGAAUUUAGUGAAACCAAAUCUGGUCUGAAAAAUAGAAAGGGUUUAAUUUUAAAUGGUGAUGGCUUUUCCUUCGUAAUUUCCUUACACAAAUGCGGGUGCAUGCCUCUUUCCCCUGCCAUAGAAACAAAGGUGCACUAUCUGGAUCGUCUAUUACGAUCCUACAGCUGAGAUUCCUUUGCACCAACGGUGUGAUUCUCUUCUCCACUCAUAAGGAAACCUCCCCCUUCCGCCUCUUGCAAACCUCCUCUAAACCCCCACCGCUUUCCUCUUCUGCGCCCCCUCCAUUGUAGCUGCGCUGAAUCCAUUGCCAGGGUGAGAGAGGCAGUGACGCUGAAAGCUUUCGGUAAAUUUGAGAACCCUUCAGAAGUUUUAUCUGCAGCAACAUUAAUAUAUUUUUUUUGGUACACAGCAACAUUAAUAUUUGAUGGUAAGCCUAGCAAGGGUCUCUGCAAGUUUCUUCGUGCUCAUUGUGAAGGUGAAACAUUACGUGUUGCCGAUGCCAAACUUGGAAAUGCAAUUGAAGAAAAAUUGAAAGUAGACUGCCUUCACAACAAUGCUGUCAUUGGAGCUAAUGAAGGGACUAGGGAUCCAGCUUACAGAACUCAUAUGUGGGUUGUCUGUGCAAGAUUUAGCUGCAACGAGCUUGUGUUUGUCAUGCAGUGUAUCUAGGUACAAGCUGAAGUUUAGCGUGGAUAAGGUGAACUUUUUUAGCAUCUCCCCUUCCUUCCUUAUAGCAACAUCACUCCAACCAUUAACCUUUUUGGUCGCCUUGGUAUUUGCAUCUUCUGUCUUCAUUUUACAAACUUUUACAACAAUUCUUUGAGAACAUACAUUAUCUAUUCUUCUACAUGAGUAACACUUGAACCAUAAUCUUUCAGAGAAACAAAUCUAGAGCUUUGAAAAAUCACUUUAUUUUUAUGCGAUAUGUUUGUGUUUUUUAUGUUUCAUUGAGAUGAUUAAAGUACUGUUAGCAUCAUAAAAUGGUUAUUAGCAUCAUAGAAUGGCUAAAAAUUUAUUUCAUUCUGCUGGUGGACACGAUGAUUCCUCUUGAUAGCGACAUGGGUUUGAGAGGAAAACCAUUCUUUGGAGAAUCCAAUUGUCAGUAAUGCUUCGAGAAGUGCUAUUAGGACUUGACUCCAUCCUUUGAUGAGUUAAGUUGAGAGGAGGCAUAAUUCGGAGGUGGGGUCACCAAAGUCCUUAUUGGAGAGUGGUCGAGAUGAGAGGAAGAGAAGUGGUUGACAAGCAAUUUCUCAAGGUAAUGUCUUGGUGAGAGGAGUGGCUUGGAGGCAGGAAUAAGAGGAGGAUGAUUUGGGUUUGAAGAUAAGCUAGAAAGGGGCUUGGUGAAUUGGGGUUUGGAGGUUCUUAUAUGAGAUGGGUUUUAUGGGUUGGGCCAGAUCAAGUUGGGUCAAGUUUGGUAGAAAUAGGAGUGACCCAGAUUAGACCUAUGUAGCAUACCAACUGGGUCAAGUUGGGCUGGUUAGGGAUUUAAACUCAGAUGUGACACAAUUUUCAGGUUGGUAUGGUUUUCAUCCAGAUCUGACUGACUGGUCUUCAGAAACGUGUUGGGCUAAGUCUAAUUGUGUCCAACCUAACGCAACCUGUUUGCAGCCUAGUUCAACCUUUCUGUACAUACUUAUUGUUUCAAGUUUUUGGACAUGUUUUAUUCCUUACUUUUACGAACUUCUUCCAUAUCUAAUAAUUUUUCCUUCUAAUUUUGGUACCCUGACCUAUGGUGUAGUUUUGAAGAUCAUUUCUUUUUCAAGUUGUAUGCUUAUGUCUCAGUAAUCAUUUUAUACUGGAUGUUUUUCCCACAUUAAGGAAUCGGUCUUCGUAAUCUCGUACUUAUUAUUGUUUAACAUCUAGAAAUGUGCCUAGUAACAGUGCAAAUUUUUAGCAUUCAAAGUCAUGGUCCCACUAAAAUCCCUGCUUAACUUUUGUUAUUUAUCCAUCUGUUUUGUAGCCACAGAUUUUUUUCCUUUCUUUCUCUCCAGCAUUUUUUUUUUUUUUCGAGUCUUCAGUCUUCUUUCAUGUAGGCCACUAUUUGAAACCAGAUGAUUUUUAUCAUAGACCAUGUAUAUGACCUUAGCUUUUUCUUACCACAUUAUUUUUACUGUACAACACCUGCUUAAGACUCCAAGAACAUUCAUUCUGCUUUCUGAUACGAUCUACCAUCUGACAUGUCAAUAUUCCUUAUAGUUUUUUUAGUUUUGUACUUUGGCAAUGUAACUUCUAGAAAUUAGUUUUUCCUGACUGUCUUAAUAAUAUAAUCUUGUAAUUCUUCCCUCAUGCUCCAGUUGCUUGUACUUCCAUGGUUGGCAGUCUUCUAAUAUGCUGGCAUUGGUUGCUAUAAGAAUACAGUCAGCAAGCAUCCUAAUUUUCUUGUGAGCACAUUCACAUUGUUUGCCUCAGAUACGCCAACUCAUUGGCAUUUAGCCUAUAUCCUUGAUACUUACAGGUCUUAUCUUCACAUCUUUUUCAAUAGUACAUCUAACUAAUUUCUAAUUUUUAGUCACUAAAAUAGCUUUUCCGGAUAUUUUAUUUUGCAUAUUAGCAAGCUUAGUGAUUGUUAAUUGUCAUAUUCACUUCUUUCGAUUUGCUUCUGUGAGCAUUAAUUUUUAACUUUCCAUGAUGCUGUAUCUCUUUUCUUUUAUUAAAGCACUGACGUCCAAUGAGCUCAAAUAAUUUUCUUCAACAGGACUUACUUUUUUACCCACCCUUAUUGUUUGAUGUCUGAAUGCUCUCUUGCUUGUUACCUAAAUCAACAUCUUCUCUGUCAUGUCUAAAGUUCGCCUCUAGCAACUCUUGCACAUUUCUUGUCGCUAUUUGGUUAUUGUGUAGCAUUUGGUUGCAAUUGAGUUUGGCGCCUUGUUGUGGGUUGUGCUGCAGCUUGCAUUAGCUAACUUGAAAUUUAUUGGAGCUUAAGAGUGACUCACAUUUAUAAAGAGGGCAAGCAGCUUGUGAAUUGGUUGGCUAACUAGGACAAAAAUGAGCAAACUGAGUUGCUUAUGGAAUGCUGACUUCCUGGGGAGUUGAUCAGUCUGCUCACAAUGGAUUGUAGUCUUUUGUGUUGUACAGAAUCUAUGAUCGUAUGUUAUUUGUGAUGGUACUUAUGGGGGGACAAGGUAGGUACAUCAGGUUGGGUGUUCCAAUUUGCGGUCAUGUUCUUCCAUUAGGAAUUCUGAGAAUGGGAUUGGCUGCGAUACUUUGCUGCAUUUGUAUCAUUCUUUAUGGCCUCUGCCCUCAAGUAUGUGCACCCACAGAUACCCACAUGACCACACCUGCACAAGCACAGACAUGCACACACCACCUAUACUGUGCCCUUUAAAACUGUUGAAACUUAUAAUUCUAGUGCUUCAUUAGCUGUUACCUGUACAAAACUAAAUACAUAUUUGUAUUUGUGUGCGUAUGUGCAUCAUUGCAUAUAUACGUAUGUAUGUCUAGAGAGUGACUUUAUAUCUCAAUCUUCCUUUUUUCUUUGAGAAACCUUAGACAUAUGACCAAUUUCAUAUGACUGUUUAGAGCUCUGAAGACACAGCAUGCUACACCAACAUAUGGGCUUAUCUUCAAUGCAUUCUUAAUUGGUCAGGCAGCCCUUAAACUCAAGGGGAAGUUUUCUCGUUCUCUUGCUGCGAAAACUGCAUUGGCUAUUUGAUAUGAUGCCCUUGGUGAUAGUGAGGACAACACUAUGAGACUGGAAAAUCAAGCUAAGGCAGUGUAGGCAAGAGACUACUGCUACAUUAUCCUAUGCAACAUAUUGUCCUAAAAUUGGAUUCUUGUAUUUGUGAAUAGAUUGAAACCUGUUUAAGAGUUCUCGAGGGUAGAGAAUUGGGCCAUUUUGCUGGCUCAACAGAAGGCAAGCCCAAGAUUGAAUUCUAUGACAGAGACUGAAAGAAGGGUGCAGGGGCUCUGAUUACUCCAGCGAAGGGAUGGGUUUCGUAGUCUCACUUGAUUUAUUCUUAUUUACGACAGUUCUAUUAAAUUCUCAAAGUCAAAUUCGUGUGCUCUCAUUUGCCAUGGUGUUUUUUGGUCCUUAGAUUUUCUGCCACGUUGGUGAAAGCUCUUGCACAGAAUAUAGUAUACCUAUAUGCACAUACAUACAUGCCAUAUAUUUCAUAUAUGUAUACAAUAUGUAUAUACAAAUUCUAUGUAUGUAUGUAUGUAUAUAUAUAUGUGUGUGUGUGUGUGUGUGUGUGGUAUGUAUGUAUGUAUGUAUGUUUGUAUAUAUCACAGGUAUAGAGAUAUAGAGAUAGUUCUCAUGUUUAAGUAUUUGUAUUCUACAACCUCAAGCUUUAAAUUACGUGCAAACCCCUCAACUUUUACAAUUUUUAACCGAUAAUAUGUGAAAUUUAUGAGUUAAAUAUCCCAUAUUUUCGAGUUCAACAAUGAUAGAAGUACUUUUUAUGUGUGGCAUCCUAAACUUGAUUUCAUUUUACUUGACUUUGUGCAUCGAAAAACCAGUAUAAAAAAGAAAUUGCAUUUAUAAAUAAACCUCUUACGUUUUUCACUUUUAUGCUUGCACGUAAGGGAUUUAUUUGAUCUCUGUCUUUUGACCAUAAGCAUGCGGCAUUUGCUGCAACUCUUUUAACUACUCUGAAACCAAAAGCCAGUCGCUUCCUCUAAUCAUGGCCUGUCCUCACUGGUGCUUUUACUUUCUCAGUAGAACUUCAGCUUGGGUUUUGCCAAUUUUCUUCCAUCAAAAAAAAAAUAAAAAAAAAUUGCUUUAGUUGUGUCACUUUGCAUUAGUAGACUUUUAACCCCUCAGCUGAUCUAGUGCUUGGGCAAAGCACUGCACCAGCUGCUGAGAAGUUGGCCGAUGAACAGGAGGGGGCACAGCCUAGAAAGAGGAAAGCAUGAGGAAAUAGGUAGCUAAAGAAGCUACCUUGAAAGAAGGGGGUGAUGAUGAAGGGGAGAAAGGGAAGAAGAAGAAAAAGAAGUCCCAUAUAGAGAGCACCUGAUUGCAAAAUGAUGAUCAGAAUGCUCCAGCUGUGGCAGAAGAAGAGCAGGAGAAAAAGUUAAAGAAGUAAAAGAAAGAUGAAGCUCCAAGCCCUAAUGAGUUAGAGAAUCAAGAUCAGCCUGUCAUGCCAAGCAGAAGUGGAGCUCGGCACAAAAGAAAAGAAGAAAAAGAAGAGAGAGCAAACUGAAGCAGAGGAUGAGGACAGCAACAACACAAAGGACCAAGAAGAAGCAGAAACAAGAAAGAAGAAAAAAGAAAAAGAAGAAGAAAGACGAAGGCUGAGUAAUGGCAUGUAUGGGAGAGAAUAAUGAGUUCUGCUUGGUGCAGGUGAAUGGAAUCUGCAAGUUUGAAUUAGUUCAUUUAGGUUUCAACACAGAGAGAUCUGUAAAAAAUUACCUAUUGUUGUUAUGGUGCUACGGAUCCAUGACGUGUUUCUGUUUUUCCUUUGAAUUAUUUAUCUGUCCGGCUAUGAUGAUAUGCAAGAACAGCUCCCUUCGAUGUUGAUGCUAA